rnacentral:rRNA from 1 species
CCUACGGGAGACAGCAGUGAGGAAUAUUGGUCAAUGGACGCAAGUCUGAACCAGCCAUGCCGCGUGCAGGAAGACGGCUCUAUGAGUUGUAAACUGCUUUUGUACGAGGGUAAACGCAGAUACGCGUAUCUGUCUGAAAGUAUCGUACGAAUAAGGAUCGGCUAACUCCGUGCCAGCAGCCGCGGUAAUACGGAGGAUUCAAGCGUUAUCCGGAUUUAGUGGGUUUAAAGGGUGCGUAGGCGGUCGGAUAAGUUAGAGGUGAAAUCCCGAGGCUCAACUUCGGAAUUGCCUCUGAUACUGUUCGGCUAGAGAGUAGUUGCGGUAGGCGGAAUGUAUGGGGUAGCGGUGAAAUGCUUAGAGAUCAUACAGAACACCGAUUGCGAAGGCAGCUUACCAAGCUACUUCUGACGUUGAGGCACGAAAGCGUGGGGAGCAAACAGGAUUAGAUACCCGGGUAGUC